AGGCCAGUAGCCCAAUUGGCAGGGCUCCGGACUCCAAAUCCGGCGGUUGGGGGUUCGAGUCCCUCCUGGCCUGCCA
rnacentral:tRNA from 2 species